UACGGAGGGGGCUAGCGUUGUUCGGAAUUACUGGGCGUAAAGCGCACGUAGGCGGCUUUGUAAGUUAGAGGUGAAAGCCCGGGGCUCAACUCCGGAAUUGCCUUUAAGACUGCAUCGCUAGAAUUGUGGAGAGGUAAGUGGAAUUCCGAGUGUAGAGGUGAAAUUCGUAGAUAUUCGCAAGAACACCAGUGGCGAAGGCGGCUCACUGGCCCGGUACUCGACGCUGAUGGCACGAAAGCCUAGGGGAGCAAACAGG
rnacentral:rRNA from 1 species